rnacentral:rRNA from 1 species
GUGGGGAAUCUUGCGCAAUGGGCGAAAGCCUGACGCAGCCAUGCCGCGUGAAUGAUGAAGGUCUUAGGAUUGUAAAAUUCUUUCACCGGGGACGAUAAUGACGGUACCCGGAGAAGAAGCUCCGGCUAACUUCGUGCCAGCAGCCGCGGUAAUACGAAGGGGGCUAGCGUUGCUCGGAAUUACUGGGCGUAAAGGGCGCGUAGGCGGACAGCUUAGUCAGAGGUGAAAGCCCAGGGCUCAACCUUGGAAUUGCCUUUGAUACUGGCUGUCUUGAGUUUAGGAGAGGUGAGUGGAACUCCGAGUGUAGAGGUGAAAUUCGUAGAUAUUCGGAAGAACACCAGUGGCGAAGGCGACUCACUGGCCCAAUACUGACGCUGAGGCGCGAAAGCGUGGGGAGCAAACAGGAUUAGAAACCCCGGUAGUCC